rnacentral:rRNA from 1 species
GGGGAAUUUUGGACAAUGGGCGAAAGCCUGAUCCAGCCAUGCCGCGUGAGUGAAGAAGGCCUUCGGGUUGUAAAGCUCUUUUAGUCGGAAAGAAAGAGUUGCAAUGAAUAAUUGUGAUUUAUGACGGUACCGACAGAAAAAGCACCGGCUAACUACGUGCCAGCAGCCGCGGUAAUACGUAGGGUGCGAGCGUUAAUCGGAAUUACUGGGCGUAAAGGGUGCGCAGGCGGUCUUGCAAGUCAGAUGUGAAAGCCCCGGGCUUAACCUGGGAAUUGCGUUUGAAACUGCAAGACUAGAGUGCAGCAGAGGGGAGUGGAAUUCCAUGUGUAGCAGUGAAAUGCGUAGAGAUGUGGAAGAACACCGAUGGCGAAGGCAGCUCCCUGGGUUGACACUGACGCUCAUGCACGAAAGCGUGGGGAGCAAACA